GGCUCAGGAUGAACGCUAGCUACAGGCUUAACACAUGCAAGUCGAGGGAAACGACAUCGAAGCUUGCUUUUGAUGGGCGUCGACCGGCGCACGGGUGAGUAACGCGUAUCCAACCUGCCCACCACUUGGGGAUAACCUUGCGAAAGUAAGACUAAUACCCGAUGAUAUCCCUAGAAGACAUCUGAAAGGGAUUAAAGAUUUAUCGGUGAUGGAUGGGGAUGCGUCUGAUUAGCUUGUUGGCGGGUAACGGCCCACCAAGGCAACGAUCAGUAGGGGUUCUGAGAGGAAGGUCCCCCACAUUGGAACUGAGACACGGUCCAAACUCCUACGGGAGGCAGCAGUGAGGAAUAUUGGUCAAUGGACGAAAGUCUGAACCAGCCAUGCCGCGUGAAGGAAUAAGGCCCUAUGGGUCGUAAACUUCUUUUGUAUGUGAGCAAUAAGGUCCACGCGUGGUCCGAUGAGAGUAGCAUACGAAUAAGCAUCGGCUAACUCCGUG
rnacentral:rRNA from 1 species